rnacentral:rRNA from 1 species
UGAAUUGACGGGGGCCCGCACAAGCGGUGGAGCAUGUGGUUUAAUUCGAUGCAACGCGAAGAACCUUACCUGGUCUUGACAUCCACGGAAGUUUUCAGAGAUGAGAAUGUGCCUUCGGGAACCGUGAGACAGGUGCUGCAUGGCUGUCGUCAGCUCGUGUUGUGAAAUGUUGGGUUAAGUCCCGCAACGAGCGCAACCCUUAUCCUUUGUUGCCAGCGGUUUGGCCGGGAACUCAAAGGAGACUGCCAGUGAUAAACUGGAGGAAGGUGGGGAUGACGUCAAGUCAUCAUGGCCCUUACGACCAGGGCUACACACGUGCUACAAUGGCGCAUACAAAGAGAAGCGACCUCGCGAGAGCAAGCGGACCUCAUAAAGUGCGUCGUAGUCCGGAUUGGAGUCUGCAACUCGACUCCAUGAAGUCGGAAUCGCUAGUAAUCGUGGAUCAGAAUGCCACGGUGAAUACGUUCCCGGGCCUUGUACACACCGCCCGUCACACCAUGGGAGUGGGUUGCAAAAGAAGUAGGUAGCUUAACCUUCGGGAGGGCGCUUACCACUUUGUGAUUCAUGACUGGGGUGAAGUCGUAACAAGGUAACCGUAGGGGAACCUGCGGUUGGAUCACCUCCUUACCUUAAAGAA